rnacentral:rRNA from 1 species
UACGGGGGGGGCAAGCGUUGUUCGGAAUUACUGGGCGUAAAGGGCUCGUAGGCGGCCAACUAAGUCAGACGUGAAAUCCCCAGGCUCAACCUGGGAACUGCGUCCGAUACUGGAUGGCUUGAAUCCGGGAGAGGGAUGCAGAAUUCCAGGUGUAGCGGUGAAAUGCGUAGAUAUCUGGAGGAAUACCGGUGGCGAAGGCGGCAUCCCGGACCGGCAUUGACGCUGAGGAGCGAAAGCCAGGGGAGCAAACGGG